rnacentral:rRNA from 1 species
GAGUUUGAUCUUGGCUCAGAUUGAACGCUGGCGGCAUGCCUUACACAUGCAAGUCGAACGGCAGCACGGGAGCUUGCUCCUGGCGGCGAGUGGCGAACGGGUGAGUAAUGCAUCGGAACGUAUCCUGGAGUGGGGGAUAACGUAGCGAAAGUUACGCUAAUACCGCAUAUUCUGUGAGCAGGAAAGCGGGGGACCUUCGGGCCUCGCGCUCUUGGAGCGGCCGAUGUCGGAUUAGCUAGUUGGUGAGGUAAAGGCUCACCAAGGCGACGAUCCGUAGCAGGUCUGAGAGGAUGAUCUGCCACACUGGAACUGAGACACGGUCCAGACUCCUACGGGAGGCAGCAGUGGGAAUUUUGGACAAUGGGGGCAACCCUGAUCCAGCCAUGCCGCGUGAGUGAAGAAGGCCUCGGUU